rnacentral:rRNA from 1 species
AGUGAACGCUGGCGGUAGGCCUAACACAUGCCAGUCGAACGGCAGCACAGUAAGAGCUUGCUCUUACGGGUGGCGAGUAGCGGACGGGUGAGGAAUACAUCGGAAUCUACUUUUUCGUGGGGGAUAACGUAGGGAAACUUACGCUAAUACCGCAUACGACCUACGGGUGAAAGCAGGGGAUCUUCGGACCUUGCGCGAUUGAAUGAGCCGAUGUCGGAUUAGCUAGUUGGCGGGGUAAAGGCCCACCAAGGCGACGAUCCGUAGCUGGUCUGAGAGGAUGAUCAGCCACACUGGAACUGAGACACGGUCCAGACUCCUACGGGAGGCAGCAGUGGGGAAUAUUGGACAAUGGGCGCAAGCCUGAUCCAGCCAUACCGCGUGGGUGGAGAAGGCCUUCGGGUUGUAAAGCCCUUUUGUUGGGAAAGAAAAGCAGCAGGUUAAUACCCCGCUGUUCUGACGGUACCCAAAGAAUAAGCACCGGCUAACUUCGUG